GACGAACGCUGGCGGCGUGCUUAACACAUGCAAGUCGAACGGAAAGGCCCUGCUUUUGUGGGGUGCUCGAGUGGCGAACGGGUGAGUAACACGUGAGUAACCUGCCCUUGACUUUGGGAUAACUUCAGGAAACUGGGGCUAAUACCGGAUAGGAGCUCCUGCUGCAUGGUGGGGGUUGGAAAGUUUCGGCGGUUGGGGAUGGACUCGCGGCUUAUCAGCUUGUUGGUGGGGUAGUGGCUUACCAAGGCUUUGACGGGUAGCCGGCCUGAGAGGGUGACCGGCCACAUUGGGACUGAGAUACGGCCCAGACUCCUACGGGAGGCAGCAGUGGGGAAUAUUGCACAAUGGGCGGAAGCCUGAUGCAGCAACGCCGCGUGCGGGAUGACGGCCUUCGGGUUGUAAACCGCUUUCGCCUGUGAUGAAGCGUGAGUGACGGUAAUGGGGAAAGAAGCACCGGCUAACUACGGGC
rnacentral:rRNA from 1 species